CUGAGUGGCUGAAGCCAGCAAGAAUACCGCAAUCCAGUUACAUCCAGCUAGACACCUCUGCUUUGCUGCACCCCUUCCCUAUCCACUACCCAGAUCCUUACAUUUCACCAUGAUCAUGUAGACGUCAAUGGUGCAAAUGGGGGGCUGGGGCAGCCUCUCUCCUUUCUCCAGCAGGUCAGGGAUCUCUCGGGCUGGAAUACCAUCAUAUGGCUUGGCACCAAAAGUCAUCAGUUCCCACACAGUGACACCUGGAGAGAGCAGCAAGGGGAACCCAUCAAACAUUGACCACUCAUGCGGUUUUCACAAUAAAACAUGGUAUUCUGUCUCAUCAAUGUCCAGUAGCCGGGCCAAGCCAAAAUCGGUGAUCUUCACAUGGUUUGGACUCUUCACCAGGACAUUCCGGGCAGCCAAGUCUCGGUGGACCAGACGGACAUCCUCCAGUUAUGAAGAAAGAAGAAUACUGCCACUGUAUUGUCGCUGCUCCUGUCACAGCACUGCAGUAGGAGGACAAGCUUCAUCUAUUGAAAUUUUCCCUUUUAGGCAUUUUAUAAAAUAC